GCCUUGGUGAUUAUCCCAGCCAUGUAAAAUAUAACUGAAAUUCAAUUGGCUGAUUCCUGACAUCGUCAUCUAAAAUAAUCCAUCCCUUUUUCGUGUUUGGACAGUAUAUAAACAGACAGAAUUUCAUCUUUCCCGUGGCACUCAGUAACAUCAUUCUUACGGCUACGUGGAUCGAAAGUGGGUGGGAAUCUGCCACGAUUGACAUUUGUUCAAUGGCAGCUGCUGACGGUGUGGAGAGACUCACACGGUUUGAAUAAAAUGGCCCGAGAGAGUCACCUGUUGAUCCUGUCGUGAUAUGGUGGCAAGUUAUUUCAGCCGGAAGACUGAAUGGCGAAUGUCACACGUGCUGUUGGGCGUCUUUCAGCACUGAAGAAGAGAACAGCUCCCACGGUGUGCCCUCAAGUCUUGUCGAUGGAAGGUCUUCAUGCCUAAAUGAAUGGGGACCUGGGGGAAGAAACAUGGAGACAUUUUGAAGAGGGAUUGACCUGCUCUGAGUGCUGGGUGGAAGACUAGUGAUUUUGUUGUGAAAUUGAACAGACACUAACAACAAAACCCAGUCUGCCUCCCAGCACAGGGUACGGGGCUGCAGUGUCUUUUUUCACAUCUGGAUUUGAGCAGAAGGAUAGCCCACAUGCCUUGAUCAUCUUUAGCAAGAUGUAAGAAUUCUAUAAUAAAAUGAAUAUACUUGGUCCA
rnacentral:lncRNA from 1 species